rnacentral:rRNA from 1 species
UAGGGAAUCUUCCACAAUGGGCGCAAGCCUGAUGGAGCAACACCGCGUGAGUGAAGAAGGGUUUCGGCUCGUAAAGCUCUGUUGUUAAAGAAGAACACGUAUGAGAGUAACUGUUCAUACGUUGACGGCAUUUAACCAGAAAGUCACGGCUAACUACGCGCCAG